GGUUCAGACCCGGUCGAACCACAAAGACUCAUGACCAAAAAAAAUUUUGGUUUGCUAGCCGGUCCGGUUUUAAAAACACUGGAUUGGAUUAGUUGAAGUCGGUUGUAUAAUGUUUCCUUUUUACAUUUUAUUUCCUUUCUUCUAUUUGUAUUAUCCUUUUUUUUUGUUCUUUGACUUUGAGAGUUUAAUUUACUUUUUCAUAGACUUGUUAUAUGACAUCCUUUUCUAAUUUUUUUUGUCUUUUUACCUUUACACAAACUUUCCAUCUUUUAAUACAAUUAUCUUUUUACGCUAUCUUCGAUUUUUGUGUGUGUUUAAGUUGUUAUAGUUUUGUUCUUUUCAGUUAUUUUGAUAUGUUAUAAAAUAAUUGUGUAAUAAAUUUUUUAAAAUAUAAAUAAAAUACAUUUUAUAGAGAAAUAGCCUUAAAUAAGCAUAAAACAAGUUUUUGUUCUUAAAUUAGCAUUUAUAGGUCAAAUGACAAAGACUAUAGUAAAAUUAUCCCCAUUCUCUACAUAUAUAUAUAUAUUUCUUUUUCUAAAAUGUACAAAAACUUUUUGAAAUUUCUUUUAAAACUUUUUUAACCUUUAAUAAACCUAUUUUGGUCACUUUCACUUUUGAAAGCUAUUUAGGAGACAAAAAAAAAUUAAUAUUAUUUAGGAGAUUUUCCCUUUUUAUAUGUAUCAAACUUUAAUAAAUAAUAUUUUAUCUUAAUUAAUCUACAUUAUAUAUUUCAUAUACUCUAUAACUCUAAAUUUGUAAAUUUCACAUUUAUAUAUUCAAUACAUUUAAUACACCCCAUAUUUAUACGUUUUUUAAUCUUUGAAAGUAUCCCAAAUCUAUAAAGAGCUUCAGACUAAAUCUUUAAAAGGGUUGCGGCCGACGGAUAGACUCACUCCGAAUGUUUAAAUGGACCGUAUUGUAGAUUCAUUUCCACGCGCCACAAGAGUAAAAUAUAAUGAGAUGCCUUCGACCCCGAAUUUGUUAACAAUCCAAAGUUUGUCUACCACUUGAAAACCACCAUGUGAUUAAACUUCACAUUAAUUUAACUAAAAUUAUGUAUAUAAAUAUAAAUUUAUUGAAAUAUUAUUUAUUUUUAUUCUGUUGAACUUAUUUGAAAGGAUAAAAGCAACAGUGGUCAGUGUUAAUAUAUUCUACUUGCCAACUUAAGAGUAAAGUUUAGAGUACUUUUUCCACUUUAUCAACAGUGCUUAGGGUAAAAGUAAAAAAAAAAUGAUUUUUUGUCUGAUUGGUAAACUUUUAGCUGAAUUUAGGUAAAAUACUCUUACUCCAAAACAUUUACUCUAACAUGUAUAUACAGUCAUACCCUUAAUGGUGGAAAGUUCUUGAUCUGCUUUUCGAUCAAAAUACCUGAAAAUAUUUUUUUAACACAAUAAAUCUUUGGAAACACCUAAAACACUAUGGAAAUUAUAUAAAAGACUUACAAAUUAACCCCAUUUGAAAUCAGGGUACUGUAUUUAAAUUAGUAAAACUUAAGAGCCACUAGGUUCUGGUCCGCGCUAUGCGCGGAUAAUGUUUCAAUAUUUGUUUUGGAAAUAUAGCGCGGAUAAUGUUUCAAUAUUUGUUUUGGAAAUAUAGAUUAUAUUUUAAAAUUUUGGUGUUUCAAUUGAUUAGAGGUCGAAACUAUUAUAAUUUAAUAUUAAAAUUAUUUUUAAGUUGAUAAAUGAAAAGAAAAAGUUACGAAAGAGUGAUGUUUUAAUUAAGAAUUUUUUUAGUUUUCUACUUUUCUUUGUUAUUAGUUUCUAUUUACAACAAUCUUUAAAAAUUGUUACGUUGUUUUCAUAUAUUAUGUUUUCUAAAAACAUCAUAUUAGUAAUAGUAUAUUUUAAAAGUAUAACAGAUGUACUGUUCCAUUAUUUGAUUCAAAGUUGUUCAUUUAUAUAUAUUGAAAUAAUAUAAAGUUUAAGUGUAUAUUUGUAUGUCAUAUUUGCCAUUUAGUGUAGCCAUAGUGAUUUUUAUCGUUUUAUUGUUUUGGUUUAUUUUUAUUAUGCGCUUUAACUUUUUUUAAAAUAUUAAUAUUUUCUAAUUGAGAGUUGUUAAUGAUAGACCAUAUUGAUUUGAAAUAUUUCUAUAAAUACUGAUUAUAUAUAUAAUGUUUAAUAUUUUAGUAAUGUGUAGAUAAAAGAAGUUAUCAUAUGAAUUUUAACUAACUUAAUUUUUUUGAACAGAAUGAUUAGUAUUCUUAACUAUUAUAUUUCUUUUGGUAGCAUAUUUGUAUUUCUAUUAGUGAUUUUUUUAAAUUGGUUUCCAUAACAUGUAAUCUUUGGUAGAAUUCAUUGAGUUAGUAGAACUUAGUUUUUUGGUUGGUAUUUGAAGAUUUUUAUGAAACUAAUCAGUUAUCUUACUGUUUUUUUCGUUUAAUAGUUUUUAGCUGUAUACUAUGGUAUAUUUUUAUAUGUAGUAACUAUUUUUAAAAUAAUGAGGAUACAUAACGAUUAAAAAGUUAUAUCAGCUAAUCACAUAUUCAAAAGAAUGAUUAAAAUUUAAAAACUUGACAUUGCUUUAUGAAGGUAAUGGAUAUAUGUGAUUCUGAUUUGUUUCUAUAAUAGUUGUUUUUACUUGGUUGAUGUUAACUUUCUAAUGAGUUACUAUUUGAUAUCGAUUUAAUUUUAACAAAGCUUAUUUUGAACUAAAAUAUGUAGCUAUAUUUUCUUAUUCGGUGUAUUAGAAGCGUAAGAUUUUAUAAAUAAAAAUGAGUAUGCUUAAUAUAAUGAUUACUCGAGUCAUUUACAAUGUACAUUUUAAAUUGUAGUUUUAAAAUUACCCUUUUACUUUAAAAUUGACAUAUAAUAUAAAUUUAGAACAUAUGAAUUUUCUUUUAAGAUACAAAAAAAUUCUAAAAUGAAUUGUUUCACUUUAUUAAAUUAAAAGGUAAUUUGAUAUUCUGUGUGUUAUUCUUAUUUGCCUAUUUAAAAACUAUUAUAAUUUGAUGGAAAACAAUACAAUUUAGAAAUACAUAAAUAGUUAUAUAAACAGAUUAUAGAUACAAAUAUAAGAGAAUUAUAGAUAUUAACUUUAUUUAUUUGAGAAGUUAACAACUGAAACAUUAGAUUUUUUUUUUUGCAUAUUUUUUAAAGUAUAUCUCAUAUAUUUACCACAUUCAGAGUGUUGCAAAUAAAAGGUCUUGUCAACCUUCCUAGAAAUGAAGUAAUUCUAUGGGUGCCACAUAAGACAAAAUAUUAUCAAAUCUUUAUUAUUUAAAAUCAUUAAUUAUCAUAUAUAUUAUAAUUCCGUAUGUUCUAUUUAAGAAAACAAUGAAGACUAUUUUUAUAUUAAUAAUUAAUUAUAUGAUUAUGGUUAAUGAACAGUAUAAUAUAUGUUUAGAUGAACCAAAUUAUUUUUCUAAGCUUAAUUUUCGUGAUGACAUGUGUCAUGGUUCAAAGGUUGUAAUGUUUCUCUUUUAAUAUAUAGAGGAUGUCUACGU